rnacentral:hammerhead_ribozyme from 1 species
GCAUUGCUGACGAAUCGCAAACAGGACAAAACAGCUGUCCAGUGC